UUCUGAUCUGCCAGCGCACAUGUUACAUCAUUUGAAUUAGCAAGUAUAGAUGAUCAGUCAGAAGACAAAAGGAAAUUGCUCUUUUAAUCUGACAGUCUGUAAUUUGUACUAUGAAAUUUGAUACUUACAUUACAUCAUGAUCUGCAUGACAAACUGAGUUGACAAUAUGGCAUCCUCUAAGCAUAGUGGGGCACAUACUCCCUUUCAGGACCUGACGAACAACGGGAAUUCAGGUUUUGACACUGUGGACAUGCCCAGUGCGCAGUCUACUGUCACCCAGCAACGACACACCCCAGCUGCGGAAGGCAUACCUCUUGAUAUGAUAAUGAGUGAUCAGACUCCACUUCAUGCUCCAAAUUCAUUAACACCGGAUAGUGCCGGUUCUAACAAGGAAAAUGUUCAUAAUAUCGACUCUGACAUUGAGUCCUCCCAACCGACUGUGUUACGACCGCCAUUUCAAGCCUACAGAUGCAGCAGUUCAUAUGCAAAACAAGCACUCAAGAGGCAGAGGGAAAGUGCCCGAUAUGAGCAACAUAAACAAGGUAUAUUACAAAGACUACGUGACAAACGGCAUCGAGCCAAAUCUACAGUAGUCCUCACAACUGGAGAACAAAAACAAUCUGACACAGCUGAUGAAGAUUGUGAUUGGCUACGGAGCAUCUACAAGUGAGGUCAGGUGGAAGUGUGUUUUUAGAGAAUGCAUGCAUCUAUAAGAUGAUAAAGAUCGAUUGCUAUCCAUCCUCAGAUGACACGAAUGCCACACCAGAAUGGGUAUUAAACAGAGGCAAAGAGUAUUUGGAAAAUGAUAUGAUAUUCAUUCCAAUAAAUAUGGACGACAUUCACUGGUACCUAUGUGUUAUAAAUGCCAGAAAACUAUGUGUUCAAGUGCUCGACUCGCUAGGCCCAUCAAUGAACUGCAAAGACCUCACUAAUACGCUAGAGGGACUGGAUGAUUUAUUCAAAUAUGCAUCCGAGCACAUGGAAUUAAAAUUCGAUAAGUGGACUGAUCUAAAUGUUACAACAUGAGAAAGAGAAGAAUAUAUUAAGAGCAGUCUUCAGACAGAUGGGUCAUCUUGUGGUCUCUGCAUGUUAAAUUACAUGGAGUACCUCAUAGGAGAUAGUUUGUCCGACACUCCCGAACAGGUUCAUAUGACAGAUUUUAGAACAAAAUUAGUUGUGAUUUUAGUCAACUCGGAAUUCAAUGAUGACGAUAUAAGAAACCAAGACUUGGAUGGUGAUGAAACCAACACGGAUCCCCCGAUUGUAUGAUUGUCGAAAGACCUCCUAACAAACCCAAAGCAUCCAACUCCUCGUCACAAGUUGAGCUCAUGUCGCAAUCAUUUAUCCUUUCGCCGUUUGUCACUCCAACAAACAACGGCUUAAUAGAUGAAUUUUGCUUGAUAAUGUUGCUUAGUUGUUAUUUUUACAUAUUUU